GACGAACGCUGGCGGCGUGCCUAAUACAUGCAAGUCGAGCGGACCAAAGGGAGCUUGCUCCUGGAGGUCAGCGGCGAACGGGUGAGUAACACGUGGGCAACCUGCCUGUAAGACUGGGAUAACAUCGAGAAAUCGGUGCUAAUACCGGAUAAUAAAAAGAACUGCAUGGUUCUUUUUUGAAAGAUGGUUUCGGCUAUCACUUACAGAUGGGCCCGCGGCGCAUUAGCUAGUUGGUGAGGUAACGGCUCACCAAGGCAACGAUGCGUAGCCGACCUGAGAGGGUGAUCGGCCACACUGGGACUGAGACAGGCCCAGACUCCUACGGGAGGCAGCAGUAGGGAAUCUUCCGCAAUGGACGAAAGUCUGACGGAGCAACGCCGCGUGAGUGAUGAAGGUUUUCGGAUCGUAAAACUCUGUUGUUAGGGAAGAACAAGUGCCGUUCGAAAGGCGGCACCUUGACGGUACCUAACGAGAAAGCCACGGCUAACUACGUGCCAGCAGCCGUACGG
rnacentral:rRNA from 1 species